rnacentral:rRNA from 1 species
GCCUAAAAUCUAGCCCGUUUAACCCACAUGACCCCCUCAACCAACCGCCCUCAAGCAAAACAUUUUAACACUCUAGUACAGGCGAUCGAAAAAUUUAUAAGCGCUUCAGAUAUAGUACCGCAAGGGAAUAAUGAAACAGAAAUGAAAUAAUUUUAAAGCCCCUAAAUAGCAGAGCUUCCCCCUCGUACCUUUUGCAUCAUGGUCUAGCCAGUCUCCUCAGGCGAAAUGAAACUUUUAGUCUGACCCCCCGAAACUAAGCGAGCUACUUCAAAACAGCCCAAAAGGGCCAACCCGUCUCUGUUGCAAGAGAGUGGGAAGAUUUUUAAGUAGAGGCGACAAACCUACCGAGCUUAGAGAUAGCUGGUUGUUCAGGAAAAGAGUUUUAGCUCAACCUUAAAUUUCCAUAUUACAUCUAACAAAUCACUAAAUUUAAGAGCUAUUCAAAUAAGGUACAGCUUAUUUGAAACGGGAUACAACCCCCGACACUGGGUUUAAUCUAGAGAUAGUAAAUAAAGUGGGCCUAAAAGCAGCCAUCUUCCAAAAAGCGUUAAAGCUUCAUAUAUUUCAUCUUUAAUUCCGUAAUUUUUACUUAACCCUUCAUUGCUACUGAACUAUUUUAUACCUCUAUAAAAGUUAUUAUGCUAGAACUAGUAACAAGAAAUAGCCUUUCUCCUAAAUGUAUGUUUGAACCAAAAUGGACAUCCCACUGGUAAUUAACGUAAAUGUAAAUAUCAUAGCACACACAGCUAGAAAACCCUAUGUUUAUUAAACGUCAACCUUACACUAGAACAUUACAGGAAAGAUUAAAAGAGAAAGAAGGAACUCGGCAAAUCACAGUCCCGCCUGUUUACCAAAAACAUCGCCUCUUG